rnacentral:lncRNA from 1 species
CCAAGGUUGAAAUGGAGGUGGCCAAGGGUGGAUGGAAGUGGCCAAGGUGGAAAUGGAGGUGGCCAAGGGUGGAUGGAAGUGGCCAAGGUGGCGGGCUGUGCUGGCCGCGGAUGAAGACAUCCCGGCCGCGGUAGGACGCGUGCCGGUCGCGGUUGAGGACAUCGCGGCCGCGGUAAAACUUCUGCUGGCCGCGGCCGAACCUCCUUUGGCCGCGGUCAGCUUCUUUUCUUCUUUUUUUU